GACGAACGCUGGCGGCGUGCUUAACACAUGCAAGUCGAACGUGAUUUUUGUGGAAAUUCUUUCGGGAAUGGACAUGAAAUGAAAGUGGCGAACGGGUGAGUAACACGUGAGCAACCUACCUUACACAGGGGGAUAGCCGUUGGAAACGACGAUUAAUACCGCAUGAGACCACAGAAUCGCAUGAUAUAGGGGUCAAAGAUUUAUCGGUGUAAGAAGGGCUCGCGUCUGAUUAGCUAGUUGGAAGGGUAAAGGCCUACCAAGGCGACGAUCAGUAGCCGGUCUGAGAGGAUGAACGGCCACAUUGGAACUGAGACACGGUCCAAACUCCCACGGGAGGCAGCAGUGGGGAAUAUUGCACAAUGGGGGGAACCCUGAUGCAGCGACGCCGCGUGAGCGAAGAAGGUUUUCGAAUCGUAAAGCUCUGUCCUAUGAGAAGAUAAUGACGGUAUCAUAGGAGGAAGCCCCGGCUAAAUACGUG
rnacentral:rRNA from 1 species